GACGAACGCUGGCGGCGUGCUUAACACAUGCAAGUCGAACGGAAAGGCCCUGCUUUUGUGGGGUGCUCGAGUGGCGAACGGGUGAGUUACACGUGAGUAACCUGCCCUUGCCUUUGGGAUAACUUCAGGAAACUGGGGCUAAUACCGGAUAGGAGCUCCUGCUGCAUGGUGGGGGCUGGAUAGUUUCGGCGGUUGGGGAUGGACUCGCGGCCUAUCAGCUUGUUGGUGGGGUAGUGGCUUACCAAGGCCUUGACGGGUAGCCGGCCUGGGAGGGUGACCGGCCACAUUGGGACGGGGAUACGGCCCAGACUCGUACGGGAGGCAGCGGUGGGGAAUAGUGCACAAGGGGCGGAAGCCUGAUGCAGCAACGCCGCGUGCGGGAUGACGGCCUGCGGGUUGUAAACCGCUUUCGCCUGUGACGAAGCGAGAGUGACGGUAAUGGGUAAAGAAGCACCGGCUAACUACGUG
rnacentral:rRNA from 1 species